rnacentral:rRNA from 1 species
CCUACGGGCGGCAGCAGUGAGGAAUAUUGGUCAAUGGGAGAGAUCCUGAACCAGCCAAGCCGCGUGAGGGAAGACGGCCCUAUGGGUUGUAAACCUCUUUUGUCGGGGAACAAAACCCGGGACGUGUCACGGUCUGCGUGUAUCCGAAGAAAAAGCAUCGGCUAACUCCGGCCCAGCAGCCGCGGUAAUACGGAGGAUGCGAGCGUUAUCCGGAUUUGUGGGGGUUAACGGGUGCGUGGGCGGUCCGUUAAGUCAGCGGGAAAAUUGCGGGGCUCAACUCCGUCGAGCCGUUGAAACUGGCAGGCUUGAGUUGGCGAGAGGGAGGCGGAAUGCGCGGUGUAGCGGUGAAAUGCAUAGAGAUCGCGCAGAACUCCGAUUGCGAAGGCAGCGUACCGGCGCCAGACUGACGCUGAGGCACGAAAGCGUGGGGAUCGAACAGGAUUAGAUACCCCAGUAGUC